AAUUUUGGACAAUGGGGGAAACCCUGAUCCAGCAAUCCCGCGUGCAUGAUGAAGGCAUUCGGGUUGUAAAGUACUUUUGUCAGAGAAGAAAAGGUAUCUCCUAAUACGCGAUAAUGCUGACGGUAUCUGCAGAAUAGGCACUGGCUAACUCCGUGCCAGCAACUGCGGUAAUACGUAGGGUGCAAGCGUUAAUCGUAAUUACUGGGCGUAAAGCGUGUGUAGGCGGUUCGGAAAGAAAGAUGUGAAAUCCCAGGGCUCAACCUUGGAACUGCAUUUUUAACUGCCGAGCUAGAGUAUGUCAGAGGGGGGUAGAAUUCCACGUGUAGCAGUGAAAUGCGUAGAUAUGUGGAGGAAUACCGAUGGCGAAGGCAGCCCCCUGGGAUAAUACUGACGCUCAGACACGAAAGCGUGGGGAGCAAACAG
rnacentral:rRNA from 1 species